UUUUCAGUCUGAGCUGAUGCUGAGGGCUGCUCAGAAGGGUCUGGGUUGCCCUGUAGGGUGGUCUAACCAGUGUUGCCCCUGUCCUGGGUACCGAACCAAAAGGCUGAUCUCUGUAACAGUGCUAACAGCCCAUAGCACUGUGAUAGUGUCAGGGCCUGCUGACAGCACCCAGGGGACGGGGCAGGAGUUAAGGCCUCCUGUUGUGCCUGGGCAGCAGUCAGUGAGCCAGGAGAGCAGAAGGCAGCUCUGGGGGCAGGUACAGUUGCCAGCAGCAAUGCCAACUCUUCCCCCAUGAAUACCAGUGCAUCAGCCCAGCAUGGAGUGUUUCAGCUCAGCAGCACUGUGCAUGUCCCCAGGCGGUGGCAGCUGGUACCAGAGGUGGUGACUCCAGGCUGGCAGUGCUGUUUGCAGCAUUGCCAGCUGCAGUAUACGAUCCUGGCGCUCCAGUCAGGCCGUGGGGAGCAGAACGGGAGCAGGAUGGGGCAGCACACAGCUGGAAACCAGCGGAGGGAUCAAUGAUUUGCUGUCAAGCGAAAGGAUGGAUGGAGCAACUUUCUGCAGGAAUCUGCCCUUGGUCUAAUAGGAGUCAGUGUUUUCCCUAACGAUCCGAAUGAUGGAAUAUUCACUGCUACGUCUGCAGAGGGCUGAGAUGGGAAUAAGCGCUGCCGUUGCAGAGGAGGAGACUUCUCACGCUGGGGGCUCUGCUGGGGGCUGUGGGGGCUCUGCCAUUGAGCAUCAGAAUCAUAAAUGUUGGAAAAACCUCUGAGAUCAGCGGGUCCAACCACCAGCCCAACCCCACCGUGCCCACUGACCAUGUCCCUCAGUGCCACAUCUGCGCACUUCUUGGGUGCUGCUGGGGAUGGUGACUCCGCCGCUGGGCAGCCCAUGGUGGCGCAUGACCAUUGGAAGGGAUGAAGAAGAGUUUGGAGAAAUCUCUGUGGAGGGAUGGAGCUCACUGACUGAGGCAGGGCUGACCCUCAGGUUCUUCCAUCCUCAACUGUGUUGUUCCAAAAGCAGCAUUUCAUCUCCUCUGAUCCCUAGGGAAAAGUAUCUUAUAACUUUGGAAGCAAAUCCCGGUGCCUUUAUCUCAAACGCUGCAGGAGACAUUGGCCCAGCUCACCCAGCACAGGGCAGGAAGGGGAGCCUGCCAGCAGCCAGAGCGGGCUCAGGUUUGAGCAGCCUGACUGCCACGGAGAAGCACUGGGUUUCUAAAACACACACAGUCUGAGCAAUGUUACCGGUAUGAAAUGAGCAUAAAUAAAUAAGAAAACUCCAUCCAUUCCUCUGGCAAAGACAGCUGGGCGUUUGGAGUGGCGGCGUUUGAAAUGCAAAAUGUCCCUCAUUGGAGAGUUGUUUGAUGCCAUUCAUCUGCUGAGCGCGGCCGCGCUGCUUGUUUGCGGUGUGCGGCUGGAAGCCACGCUUGGUGAGAGCGCUCCGGCUGGCUCGGAGGUAGGGAAGAGCGAAGGAUGCUAAUAUCAGGCGUUUCAAUCCCCACUGCAGCCUACGUUGCUCAAAGCAAGAUGACUUGCAAACAUCUAACACAAACGAGGAAGAUGAAUCGUAUUCAAGGUCAGGCUCUACGCCAGGAAACUGAUAGAGGCAAAAGCGGUUAAUUGCUUUAGAUUCCAACAGCCCCCAAACGUGCCCUGCGUGCAGACAUCCCCGCCUCGCGCUGCCGCGGACCUCGCCACCCAAACCGGCAAAUAAAGUAGGAAAUGGAGGUGCUCGUCGUGAUUUUUAAUGUCAAAAUUAGAUUCACUGUUGCCUUAUGGUCUCUGUAAUUACCAGACAUCACUCAUCGUUUUUCUCCGCUCAAGGGAUACUCUGUUAUUGACCUCACUGGGAAGAUAUAAAUACAUUACUGAAUGGAAAUAUCACCAUUACCGUUGUGGGAAGGUCUGCGCUGUGGCUCAGAGGACCCUGAAAUCUUUAUCUUGGUGUACCUACAGCGGAGAACACCUGAUACUGUUGGUGUGAUAGCAAACCGAGAGCUUUUAGAGGAGAAAAACCUAUUACUGCUUAUUAAAGAGAGCUGCAACAGCCAACCGCGAGCUGCCAGAGGAGACAAACAGACAAAAAUCGAUCAGCACAGCCCUCGAUGGAGGUGCUGGGGGCACAGCAGCCUCCUGGUCCCACACUGGUGGGGCCACCAAGCUGCUCAGGAGUGCAGCAGGGCCAUGGGGCCAAAGGGCGUUUCCCGGGAUAUGAUGAGCACCAAAGGCAAGAGGAGGCUGGCAAGGUGCUCCUAUGGGGCUGUGCGUGGUGGUGGGAUGCUUUCAUGAAGCUGUGCAUUGAGCACGAUGGUGGUAGGAUGGUCUUAGGGAGCUGUACGUGGAGCAUCAUGGUGGUAGGGUGCUUUUACGUAGUGGCUCGUGGGGUAUUGUGGCGGUGGGAUGCUCUUGUGAUGCCAUGCAUGGACACCUCCCACUGUAACAGCCUAGCCCAGAGCCCAGCUGUGCAGGGGGACCACCACAGCCUGUGUUUGCCACCCCAGGCGGGGAUGCCCAUCUGUCAGCUCCCCACUGGUGGCAGCCCUGGGGAUGCCUGAGUCCCUCACCCCUCAAGACACAAAGUCCCGGCGAAGCGCUGCGUGCCACAGGGGGGAUGUCCCGUGCUCACACCGAGCCCGCAGGAGCUGGGGAACCUUCAGACAGGGGAUCAGCUGUCCUUGUCCACAGCAG
ensembl:lncRNA